UCUUGGUCAUUUAGAGGAAGUAAAAGUCGUAACAAGGUUUCCGUAGGUGAACCUGCGGAAGGAUCAUUACCGAGUGAGGGCCCUCUGGGUCCAACCUCCCACCCGUGUUUAUUUACCUUGUUGCUUCGGCGGGCCCGCCUUAACUGGCCGCCGGGGGGCUUACGUCCCCGGGCCCGCGCCCGCCGAAGACACCCUCGAACUCUGUCUGAAGAUUGUAGUCUGAGUGAAAAUAUAAAUUAUUUAAAACUUUCAACAACGGAUCUCUUGGUUCCGGCAUCGAUGAAGAACGCAGCGAAAUGCGAUACGUAAUGUGAAUUGCAAAUUCAGUGAAUCAUCGAGUCUUUGAACGCACAUUGCGCCCCCUGGUAUUCCGGGGGGCAUGCCUGUCCGAGCGUCAUUUCUGCCCUCAAGCACGGCUUGUGUGUUGGGCCCCGUCCUCCGAUUCCGGGGGACGGGCCCGAAAGGCAGCGGCGGCACCGAGUCCGGUCCUCGAGCGUAUGGGGCUUUGUCACCCGCUCUGUAGGCCCGGCCGGCGCUUGCCGAUCAACCCAAAUUUUUAUCCAGGUUGACCUCGGAUCAGGUAGGGAUACCCGCUGAACUUAAGCAUAUCAAUAAGCGGAGGAA
rnacentral:rRNA from 1 species